CUCACCACUGUGCGGGCUGGGGCAGCAAGGCCAACAGUUGCCGCUUUACCGGGGCAGGGCGUGUACUGGCACCCAGGUUUGGCAUGGCAGAGCUGGCCAACAGCCUGUGGUCCUUCAUCUGCCCCCCAGUUCCAAGAGGCCUACAGCCCCCAGCACUGCCUCUGCCCACCUGCCUUUAACAGACUCCAGGGCUGCUCCUGCCAUGCAGCAAAGGCUUUGUCUGUUUCAAAGUUUGAGACUCAACUUGAGGGACUGUUUUUGACAAUCCCCGCUGACCUUCCCUCCUCGUGGUGCCGUGGCCCUGCACCCAGCCUGGCCCAGGGCCAGCUUUGCCUAGCGAGGCUGGAGGGAGCACCAGGACCUGCUGUCUGCUGUCAGCCCCUCCUGGUGCUGGUGCCCUGUUGCUGUGCCUUGUCAUCCACUAAGCUGCAAGAGGGACAGAGAGAGGACCACGCAGCCAGCCAGACGCCUGGCCCUGUGCUGGGGCAGACAACGCUGCAGAGCCCGGGGAGCCUGGUCCUAGGACGUGUGUCCGUGGCGACACUGGUGUGUCUGAACUCACCUUGCCUGGGAAGCACCAUCUGCGCCCCGCCCCGAGCCCCACCCCCUCCAGUCCACAGCCAGGAAGGGGCCACUGAGGGCAAACGUCCUGCGAGGCUCUCUGCCCAACCUGCUCCUCCAAGGGUCUGGCCUUCAUGCUGUGGAGCCACCCCCACCCCACUGCCCACUCUCAGAAGCAGCUGGGACUCUGCUCACACAAGUGACUGGGCCGGCCCUGGACCCCCAGAACCCCCCAAGCCGCAUGCCAGCUGCCUGCACAGGGAGAGCAGCUGAGGCCCAGGCAGGAGCCCCACACUAGACCCCAGAAUAGCUUUCCCACCCAGGCACCUCCCCUCUGGGGGGCAGCAGGCGUGGGAGUCAGGGCUGCACGUUCCUCCCCUCCCACCUCACAGGCGGCCUUAGGCAAGUCAUUCUUUGUUAUCACAAGGUCGCCUCUGCCUAGCCCGGUCCUCGCAUCCAGAGCAGGGACGUGCAGCCCCCAGGCCCCCACACACCUCCCUCUUCGCCAAGGCCGGGACCACCAACCACACGUUUCAUUGUGGCUGCCUGUGGGCUCCCAGGGCUUGCAUACAGGCCAGGCCUGUCCAUUGACUUUUAAAAGUGAAACUGCUGGAUCUCAGAUUCUAUGGCAUCUAAGGCCAAGCAGGGGUGGGCACACAGGUCACCCAAAGCCCACACUGAGCCUCUGUGCCUGUCCUAGGCCCCAGUCAAGGAAGCCAUGAGGCGGGGGGGGGGGGGGGGGGAUCCGCUGAGGAAGGAAAUGUUCAUUUUCAUUUGUCCAAAACCACCUUAAGUAUAUUAAUCUUGAUGCUUUUUAACUAUUGCUUUUUAACUUGCUGAGAUUUAGAAAUACUGUUAUAAAAAGAAAAACUUUUUUAGUUUCUGUAUUUUUUUCUGUAUUGUAUCUUCAUGGGACAUUAGGGGUUUUCUAUGGUAAGCACACCUACGGUUUUGGUAAAAACAUUAUCAAAUAUACAUCCAGACGGUUCUUCCCUAGAAGAAAAACAAUCUUUACACCUGAUAAAACAUUUUGAAAAGAGAGGUGUUCUUUUCCCUUACUGGUGCUGAAAGGAAGGAUGGAUAAUGAGGAGAAAAUAAAACUGUGAGGCU